rnacentral:rRNA from 1 species
UACAGAGGGUGCGAGCGUUAAUCGGAAUUACUGGGCGUAAAGCGCGCGUAGGCGGCUUUGCAAGUCGGGUGUGAAAUCCCCAGGCUUAACCUGGGAACUGCAUUCGAGACUGCAUUGCUAGAGUAUGGGAGAGGGAAGUGGAAUUUCCGGUGUAGCGGUGAAAUGCGUAGAUAUCGGAAGGAACAUCAGUGGCGAAAGCGACUUCCUGGACCAAUACUGACGCUCAUGUGCGGAAAGCGUGGGGAGCAAACAGGAUUGAGAUACCC